AUCACUUGUCUUUUAAAUGAAGACCUGUAUGAAUGGUGGAACGAGGGCUUAACUGUCUCCCUCCUCUAGUCAAUGAAAUUGAUCUACCCGUGCAGAAGCGGGUAUAAUAAUAUAAGACGAGAAGACCCUUUGGAGCUUAAGAUAAAAGACCAACUACGUCAAAAGUCCUAAAAACUAAACCAAGUAAUACUGGUCCUAAUCUUCGGUUGGGGCGACCGCGGGAGAAAGCAAAGCUCCCAUGCGGACUGGGAUUCCCUAAAGCUAAGAGAGACAUCUCUAAGACUCAGAACAUCUGACCAAAGAGAUCCGGCGACCGACCAACGGACCAAGUUACCCUAGGGAUAACAGCGCAAUCCCCUUCCAGAGUCCAUAUCGACAAGGGGGUUUACGACCUCGAUGUUGGAUCAGGAC
rnacentral:rRNA from 1 species